rnacentral:misc_RNA from 1 species
CUCGUUAUCAAAUUACUCUCUCGUUAAAAGAGUCAAUACUAAUUGUACCAAAACAAAAUACAAUGCAUGGGAAGCUGCUUGAGCUGACAGACUUAAAACAUGUCAUGAAUACAUGUAUCGUUUGCUUGCCUUCAGAACACAAACAAUUUGAGAGAGUAUUUUGCCUUGGCAAGAUAACACAAACAAGCUGCUUGCCUCCUAUAUAAAUACUUGCUGUGAUUCCCCUGGUUCAACUGAAAGGAAAAAUAUACACCACUUAAUGUAACAAUUAUUCUCCUUCCCAACCGAGUUGGCGAGCCCGUUGCUCCCAUAAGGAAGUA